CAGUGCGGUGGCCUGUCGCUUGUCGGCAUCGGCAAGAGGAAAGUCCGGGCAACGCAGAGCGCCAUAUUUCCUAACGGGAAGCCAUUCGCGAGGGUGGAGUAGCGUGACAGAAAACAACCGCCACCGUUUGGUGGUAAGGGUGAAAAGGUGGGGUAAGAGCCCACCGGGGGCUAUGGCAACAUAGCCUGCCGCACGUCUUAUGGGUUGCAAGGUCAAGUAUACCGGCAUUUAAGGGCUGCUCGUCCAUUGUCGGGGGGUAGACUGCUCAAGCCUUGUGGCAACACAGGGAUUAGAUAAAUGACAGGACGCAACUUCGUGUUGCGACAUAACCCGGCUUAUAGUCGCACUG
rnacentral:RNase_P_RNA from 1 species